ACACACACACAGAGAGAAUGAAGUUUCUUUCUGUCUCUUAAGUGAUGUGUGAGUGGAUGGACAGAUUGCCCUCAGCUUUAAGGGCAGUUCAGGAUGAUCUGUCUUAAGAUCGAUGCUCUGUGGAAUGAGAAAAAUGCGCUCUGCAGGGCAUGCCCACUGCAUGUGCUGGGAGGCUCUCCUACAUCCAAUGGGCAGAUGCGCAGUCUCCACGGAGGCCUCAGGCCUCGGUGUGAGCCAGGGCUGCUUCAAACAUGUCGGCUAUCUAAAGUAAGUCCCAGCAGGGGUCAUUUAUUUAAGGACCGUGGUGCUUUCCAUGGCUGAUUUGCUGGUAAAUGACAGGUGUGAGUGUAGUGAACAUGUCUUGCCUCCACCUACUUCACCCACCAUCCUGUGCAUCAUGGAAACCUGUCUCGAUGAUCAGCAGCCAUGUGUGGUGGGGUGGAAAGGACAGUCUCCAGAGACAGAAUCCUGGGACCAUCCCUGACUUUGCAACUUACUAGCUUUCUUGCCACACUAUUUAGUUUUUUCAAGCUGUAAUUUCCUUAAAAUGGGGAAUAUGAUCAAUCUCUAUCCCACAGAAAAUUUGGAGCACAUGAGUUCAUUCAAGUAAAGUAUACCAUUAGCAGGCCAUAACACAGGCACGAAGAAGGAAAUACAAUAAUUUGUGCGUGUGUGUGGUGGGUUAAGUGUCACAUCUUCAUAAAAUUCAACCCUACCCCCAUUUCAGUCACUUGUCAGAGAGGAAAGCCAAGAAGCCAAUUCCAAGAGUUUAGUGUGACAUCAGUGUCUAGGUCAUCUAAAUCUGGCCAUCUUUCUGCCAUACCUAUCUAAGUCCUGUGGCAAUUAACACAGUAGAGCUAUAUUUGCAUAAGUAACUUUAUAGUCUCUGUGUAUAUGCUGAGCAGAGCUGAUUCAUUUUACAAUCAUUUGCACUUGUCAUAGAGCUCCUUCAAUACUACUACCCAAACAUGUUGGACAAAGAAAAGAAGAUAGACACUUUUGUUUUGUUGCUUGUUUUCUACUGAUUUUGUAAUACUGUAUUUUCAACUUCUUAGCGACAUUGGCCCCAUGUUAAAGGCCUAUGUCACACAGCCUGUUGUGAAUAAGAAGUUUUUU
rnacentral:lncRNA from 1 species